AAGCUCGUAGUUGAAUUUCGGAAUCAAUAUGUUGGUCGUGCCAUUGGUACGUACUGGCAUUAUUGGUUUCUACCUUCUGAAGAACCUCGAUGUCAUUAAUUUGGUGUCUUGGGGAAUCAGGACUGUUACUUUGAAAAAAUUAGAGUGUUUAAAGCAGGCUCGCGCUUGAAGACAUUAGCAUGGAAUAAUGAAAUAGGACGUUUGAUUCUAUUUUGUUGGUUUCUAGGAUCGACGUAAUAGUAAUUAAGGUAGGUAGUUAGGGUUCGGUCGUAGGACGGGCCGGUCGGU
rnacentral:rRNA from 1 species